AAAAUAUCUAUCCUCCCUCUAAGCCUAGGUAGAAAACUAAGUUAUAAGACAAGGAUGAACACGAUAUAUGGUACUUUUUAAAAUCUGGUUCCCAAAGAAAUAAAACAUUUUAAAAAGAAUUUUAAAAUAAUGUAUUUAGCUUAUGCUGAGUAUAUAUUAGUGAGCAACUAAUUUAAAAAUAUUUAAGGAAUAAUAGUCCCCUCUGUUAUAAUAAAUUACUAUUGACCUAAUUUAUUUAUUAAGCUUCUCUUCUUAUUUGGGUAAUUAAUUCUAAGAAUUAGAACUUGUUUACACUAGUAAAUAUACUUUUAUUAUUUUCUUACUUAAAUAAGUUUUAUCAAUUUUAAAUUAAAUAUAAACUAAAUAACUUGAGAUUCUCCAAACUGUUUAACAAAGACAUAGUAAGACUGUGUCUUAUGUAUCUGCCCAAUGAAUAAUUUUUUAUGGCUUUAAAGUAGCGCAAUAAUUAGUUUAUUAAUUGUAAACCUGUAUGAAGCUAGCAUUGGUUAAUCAUGUUUAUUCUUAUCUGUUGAAUCUUAGUUAUCAGUACAAACGCUGAUAUGUCCCCCGAAGACGAUAAGACCCUAAGACCUUCACCUUGUUUGGCUGGGAUAGCCUACUUAAUAUAAUAAAGAAACCUUAAUUAUUACGAACCAAUUAUUUUGCUAUACAUAGGUACCUUAGGGAUAACAGCGCGUAAUACUUUUAGAGCUCUUAUUUAAAAGAUAUUCGUGACCUCGAUGUUGAAUUAAGUAAUAUAGUGCUGCAGAAGGUGCUAUUUUAAGUCUGUUCGACU
rnacentral:rRNA from 1 species